GACGAACGCUGGCGGCGUGCUUAACACAUGCAAGUCGAACGGAAAGGCCCUGCUUUUGUGGGGUGCUCGAGUGGCGAACGGGUGAGUAACACGUGAGUAACCUGCCCUUGACUUUGGGAUAACUUCAGGAAACUGGGGCUAAUACCGGAUAGGAGCUCCUGCUGCAUGGUGGGGGUUGGAAAGUUUCGGCGGUUGGGGAUGGACUCGCGGCUUAUCAGCUUGUUGGUGGGGUAGUGGCUUACCAAGGCUUUGACGGGUAGCCGGCCUGAGAGGGUGACCGGCCACAUUGGGACUGGGAUACGGCCCAGACUCCUACGGGAGGCAGCGGUGGGGAAUAUUGCACGAUGGGCGGAAGCCUGAUGCAGCAACGCCGCGUGCGGGAUGACGGCCUUCGGGUUGUAACCCGCUUUCGCCUGUGACGAAGCGUGAGUGACGGUAAUGGGUAAAGAAGCACCGGCUAACUACGUG
rnacentral:rRNA from 1 species